rnacentral:rRNA from 1 species
GAUGAACGCUGGCGGCGUGCUUAACACAUGCAAGUCGAACGGAAAGGCCCAAGCUUGCUUGGGUACUCGAGUGGCGAACGGGUGAGUAACACGUGGGUGAUCUGCCCUGCACUUCGGGAUAAGCCUGUGAAACUGGGUCUAAUACCGGAUAGGACCACUUCUUGGAUGUUGUGGUGGAAAGUUUUUUCGGUGUGGGAUGAGCUCGCGGCCUAUCAGCUUGUUGGUGGGGUAAUGGCCUACCAAGGCGUCGACGGGUAGCCGGCCUGAGAGGGUGUACGGCCACAUUGGGACUGAGAUACGGCCCAGACUCCUACGGGAGGCAGCAGUGGGGAAUAUUGCACAAUGGGCGCAAGCCUGAUGCAGCGACGCCGCGUGGGGGAUGACGGCCUUCGGGUUGUAAACUCCUUUCGCUAGGGACGAAGCGCUUUGUGACGGUACCUGGAGAAGAAGCACCGGCUAACUACGUG